rnacentral:lncRNA from 1 species
GCAAGAACUACCUAGGAUACAAAAAACAUGUAUAAAAGAAAAAAAUUGAUAACUGAGAUUCCAUCAAAAUUUAGAACUUUAAAUGACAUCAUUAAAAUGAAAAGUAGUCCUUAAACAGACCAUAUUUACAAUGCAUAUAACCUAUGAGCAGAAUAUAUAAAUAAUUCUUAGAGCUCAUUAAUAGCCCAAUUAAAAUGUAGACAUAAGAAGAUGAUAAAUAGCCAGUAUAGCACAAGGAAUGGUGUGCAACUCUAGAAUCAGAAAAAUACUAAUCAGUACAAUAAUAAGAUUGAAUUAUACACUCAUUAGGGAGAUGAAGUUAAAAGUUUUAAAAGCCUUGUCAUGACUUUUUCUUUUUGUUGGAUUUUCCCCCUUUGCAUUUAAUUUGUCAUGCCCAAUGGAUUCAUUCUACUGGGUUUCCUGGGGUUGUGAUCCUCAUUGUCUUUUCCUAGGGUAUUGUCUAACAUUUUUUAGAGUGCCAGUUUGGUAUUCAUGAAGUUCCUGAGGUGCUCUUUAUCCUGAAAGUAUCUUAUUUCUCCAUCAAUUUUGAAAGAUAGUUUUGUAGGGUACAUCAAUCUGGAUUGGAGGCUGUUUUCCUUUAGGGCUUGAAAUACAUCACUCCAAGCUCUUCUUGCCUUGAGGGUUUGCAUUGAGAAGUCUGCUGUGAUUCUGAUGGUCUUUACUUUGUAUGUGAUUUGUUUCUUUUCUCUCACUGCUUGUAGAAUUUUGUUCUUCUGAUGGAUUUCUGGAAUCCUAACUAUUAUAUGCCUAUGUGUAGAUUUGUUUUGAUCAAGGCUAGCUGGAGUCCUAUAUGGUUCACUUAUCUGUAUGUCAGGUUCUUUUCCCCUCCUUGGGAAGUUUUCUGCCAUAACUUCUGUGAACAGUUUUUUUAUGUCAUGUGCACUCUCUACUGUUUCUUCAUUGACUCCGAUCAGUCUUAUGUUAUUCUUCUUUGCAUUGUCUAGCAGCUGCUGGAUUGAUUUCUCGUGUUCCCUUACAAUUUUAAAGCAAUUUUUCUUUUCCUUCUCUCUAAUUGCAAUCUUAUCUUCUAUAUGUGAAAUUCUAUCCUCACAUUGGUUCAUUCUGCUGUGCAGACUUUUGAUGGAGUUUUUAAUCUCUUGGAAAUCUGUUUGUAUCUGUUUUAUGGAUUCCAUUUGUUUCCUAUGUUGGGAUUCCGUCAUGUUCCUCAGAUCCUCUAUUUUUUUGUCUGUGUCCUCUCUAGAUUUAUUAAUCAUGUCUUGCAGCAUGAGCACAAUCUUUGCUGUUAUCUGAGUAAUUAUUUCUGAUUUCAUUUUUCCCAGAUCCUCUUUUGUUGCCAGUUCAGAGAGUCCAGGUGGUUGAGUAUCAGAGUGUUCCAUCUCGUUUCCCUUUGGGGUUGCUGUAGGUGAUCUGGAACUCUGUUUUUGAGGCUUGUUUAUGUGUUUUCUCAUUUCCAUGGGGUGUGUGGGGGGGGUGCUUCUGGCACCCACGUGGCUCACCUUCUCUGCCUUAGGAGCUUGGGAUGGCAGCGGGGGAGCUUCCUUCUGGGUUCUGGGACCAGCUCAGCUUCUCUGCCCUAGGAGCUUGGGAUGGUGGUGGGGGAACUUCCUUCUGGGUUCUGGGACCGGCUCACCUUCUCUGCCCUGGGAGCCUGGGAUGUCAGCGGGGGAGCUUCCUUCUGGGUGCUGGGACUGGCUGAGCUUUUCUGCCCUAGGAGCCUGGGAUGGUGGUGGGGAGCUUCCUUCCGGGUGCUGGGACUGGCUCACCUUCUCUGCCCUAGGAGCCUGGGAUGGCAGUGGGGGAGCUUCCUUCUGGGUGCUGGGACUGGCUGAGCUUUUCUGCCCUAGGAGCCUGGGAUGGUGGUGGGGAGCUUCCUUCCGGGUGCUGGGACCAGCUCACCUUCUCUCAAUAAUUUGAACUUUUAAACUGACCUUUGGGAGAAAAAUCCUAGGAACCUAAAAUGCAAGUUACGAAGCAAACCAUAAUUGUUAGUCAUAACCUAGGCAAUUGCAACACUGUUGUAUAACCACAUGCCUUGGAAGUGAAUGAACAUAUGUGUGGCAGACAGCAAAUCUAGUUUUGCAUGAUUUAGGUCAGUAACAGUGAUGGUAUGGGAAGAGUGUUCUGUGCAUGCACAGCAAGUUAAUGCCUACUUUUACUCAUUCCUUCACAUCUUGUCCCAACAUAAUGGAGAGAGUUUAUUUACACAGAGCCCAGAGUGUACAUAUUCCACAUAGUAUAAUUUUCCCACUUGUGAUGGAUAGUAAAAGGAAUCUACCUUGAAGAGAUGCAUGGAAGAAGGUAUUUAAUUUAGGAGGAAAAAAAUAACACAUUGUUCCUUUAAGUUAGUGUAUGAAGAACUAGAUUUCUCUCUGGAGUCCUUUCCUAGUGUACAGUUGUAGAGCAAUAUCCUAAAAUGCCAAAACAUUCACGAAGAAAGAGAACUUUAAUUUAGGUGUGGUGGUGGGGGUGCCUCCUGUCUGUAAUCCCAGUGUCAGGUGAAGCUGAGGCAGGAGGAUUGAAAGUUUAAGCCUAGCCUGGGUAGCUUAGUGAAACCCUGUCUCAAAAUAGGAAAGGACUGGGGAUGUUGUUCAGUGUGAGGACCUUGGGUUCAAUCACCAGUUCCUCAAAAG